UACAGAGGGUGCGAGCGUUAAUCGGAAUUACUGGGCGUAAAGCGCGCGUAGGCGGCUUGUUAAGUCGGAUGUGAAAUCCCUGGGCUCAACCUAGGCAUUGCAUUCGAUACUGGCAAGCUAGAGUAUGGGAGAGGAAGGUAGAAUUCCAGGUGUAGCGGUGAAAUGCGUAGAGAUCUGGAGGAAUACCGAUGGCGAAGGCAGCCUUCUGGCCUAAUACUGACGCUCAUGCACGAAAGCGUGGGGAGCAAACAGG
rnacentral:rRNA from 1 species